GUCAGGAUGGCCGAGCGGUCUAAGGCGCCAGACUCAAGGUUACCUUGUUCGCCAUUGCGGUGAAUCUAGUUGAGCGUUCUGGUCCUCUUUGAGGGCGUGGGUUCGAAUCCCACUUCUGACA